rnacentral:rRNA from 1 species
UACAUGGGGUGCAAACGUUGCUCGGAAUUAUUGGGCGUAAAGCGCGCGUAGGCGGUUAUCUAAGUCGGAUGUGAAAGCCCUCGGCUUAACUGAGGAAGUGCACCCGAAACUGGAUAGCUAGAGUACGAAAGAGGGUCGCGGAAUUCCCGGUGUAGAGGUGAAAUUCGUAUAUAUCGGGAGGAACACCGGUGGCGAAGGCGGCGACCUGGGUCGAGACUGACGCUGAGGCGCGAAAGCGUGGGGAGCAAACAGG